ensembl:processed_transcript
AGAAGGUCAAAGUUUAACCUAAGUGCAGUGUAGCUGAUGAACAUCUUUAUAUGCAAAACCGGAGCACCCAGAGAAAACCCACGCAAACGCAGGGAGAAUUUGCAGACUCCACACAGAAAUGCCAGCUGAAAUGGAUGCCUGAUUGCAGUUCAACUCCAAACUCAGUUGGACCAGCUGAUCAGUGUCUUCAGUAUUACCACCAGCUACUGGGCAGAUGUGUGGACAGCUAUGAGCCAAACUUGGGACGUUUGGUUUUUAGCAGGUGGAGAGACCGUCUGGGCAGCAGAAACAAGACAACUAAUCAUAUUUAGAUACAAUCAAAUGUCCAAACCAUCUCUGAGUGAAUGACAUCAAGGAAACAGGAUCAAAAAGAUCAUUCAUUAUAGACCGUUUCAUAGUUGGUUAUAUUUUUCAGGUCCUCCUGAUCAUUCUGUUCUCCUGGUUGUGAGGAUGUGCAGAGGCUGUAUUUGUCAGUGUUAAAAGACUUGUGCAGCUGUAUCUAGACAUACAAGCAGCCGACAAAGAGUUCUGGAGCAGGACAGACAGGGCAGCACGGUGGCGCAGAGGGUAGCACGUUUGCCUCACAGCAAGAAGGUUGCUGCUUCAAGCUUCGGCUGGAUUGGUGUACGCUGAUGGUCUGCUGAGAAUUCUGCUGAGUUGAAGGGAUCCUCCUGUCAGACAACCUCUCCAAAGUACAAUAGGACUAAACAAUUUAGAGGAUGGCGACACACUUUUUAUUCCACCUCUAUAAGUCAGAGCAAGAAAAUGUUAUGUUUUCUUCUGGAGAAAGUCUUAUUUCUUUUAUUUCGGCUAGAAUAAAAACAGUUUUGAAUUUUUUAAAAAACAUUUUAAGGUCAAUAUUAUUAGCCACUUCAAGCAAUUUUUUGCGACUGUCUACAGAACAAACCAUCGAUAUACAAUAACUUGGCUAAUUACCCUAACCUGCCUAGUUAAGCAAAUUAACCUAGUUAAGCCUUUAAAUGUCACUUUAGGCUGUAUAGAAGUGUCUUGAAGAAUAUCUAGUCAAAUAUUAUUUACUCAGUUAUUAGAAAUGAGUUAUUAAAACAAUUGUCAUUAGAAAUGUGUUAAAAAUAUUUCAGUUAAAC